rnacentral:rRNA from 1 species
GACGAACGCUGGCGGCGUGCCUAAUACAUGCAAGUCGAGCGAAGUUUUUCUGGUGCUUGCACCGGAAAAACUUAGCGGCGAACGGGUGAGUAACACGUAAAGAACCUGCCUCAUAGACUGGGACAACUAUUGGAAACGAUAGCUAAUACCGGAUAAUAGCAUUAACUGCAUGGUUGAUGUUUAAAAGUUGGUUUUGCUAACACUAUGAGAUGGCUUUGCGGUGCAUUAGCUAGUUGGCGGGGUAAAGGCCUACCAAGGCGACGAUGCAUAGCCGACCUGAGAGGGUGAUCGGCCACACUGGGACUGAGACACGGCCCAGACUCCUACGGGAGGCAGCAGUAGGGAAUCUUCCGCAAUGGGCGAAAGCCUGACGGAGCAACGCCGCGUGAGUGAAGAAGGAUUUCGGUUCGUAAAGCUCUGUUGUUAGGGAAGAAUGAUUGUGUAGUAACUAUACACAGUAGAGACGGUACCUAACCAGAAAGCCACGGCUAACUACGUG